rnacentral:rRNA from 1 species
GGGUACUCGAGUGGCGAACGGGUGAGUAACACGUGGGUGAUCUGCCCUGCACUUCGGGAUAAGCCUGGGAAACUGGGUCUAAUACCGGAUAGGACCACAUUUUGGAUGGUGUGGUGGAAAGUUUUUCGGUGUGGGAUGAGCUCGCGGCCUAUCAGCUUGUUGGUGGGGUAAUGGCCUACCAAGGCGUCGACGGGUAGCCGGCCUGAGAGGGUGUACGGCCACAUUGGGACUGAGAUACGGCCCAGACUCCUACGGGAGGCAGCAGUGGGGAAUAUUGCACAAUGGGCGCAAGCCUGAUGCAGCGACGCCGCGUGGGGGAUGACGGCCUUCGGGUUGUAAACUCCUUUCGCUAGGGACGAAGCGUUUUUGUGACGGUACCUGGAGAAGAAGCACCGGCUAACUACGUGCCAGCAGCCGCGGUAAUACGUAGGGUGCGAGCGUUGUCCGGAAUUACUGGGCGUAAAGAGCUCGUAGGUGGUUUGUCGCGUCGUUUGUGUAAGCCCGCAGCUUAACUGCGGGACUGCAGGCGAUACGGGCAUAACUUGAGUGCUGUAGGGGAGACUGGAAUUCCUGGUGUAGCGGUGGAAUGCGCAGAUAUCAGGAGGAACACCGAUGGCGAAGGCAGGUCUCUGGGCAGUAACUGACGCUGAGGAGCGAAAGCAUGGGUAGCGAACAGGAUUAGAUACCCUGGUAGU